rnacentral:rRNA from 1 species
GAUGAACGCUGGCGGCGUGCUUAACACAUGCAAGUCGAACGAACCUUCGGGUGAGUGGCGGACGGGUGAGUAACGCGUGGGAAUCUGCCCUCAGGAGGGGGAUAACGGCUGGAAACGGCCGCUAAUACCCCAUAUGCCGAGAGGUGAAAAGAAUUUUCGCCUGAGGAUGAGCCCGCGUCUGAUUAGCUAGUUGGUGUGGUAAUGGCGCACCAAGGCUUCGAUCAGUAGCUGGUCUGAGAGGAUGAUCAGCCACACUGGGACUGAGACACGGCCCAGACUCCUACGGGAGGCAGCAGUGGGGAAUUUUCCGCAAUGGGCGAAAGCCUGACGGAGCAACGCCGCGUGAGGGACGAAGGCCUCUGGGCUGUAAACCUCUUUUCUCAAGGAAGAAGACAUGACGGUACUUGAGGAAUAAGCCACGGCUAAUUCCGUGCCAGCAGCCGCGGUAAUACGGGAGUGGCAAGCGUUAUCCGGAAUUAUUGGGCGUAAAGCGUCCGCAGGCGGCUCAGAAAGUCUGCUGUUAAAAAGUGGAGCUCAACUCCAUCAAGGCAGUGGAAACUACUGGGCUAGAGUGUGGUAGGGGCAGAGGGAAUUCCCGGUGUAGCGGUGAAAUGCGUAGAUAUCGGGAAGAACACCAGUGGCGAAGGCGCUCUGCUGGGCCAUAACUGACGCUCAUGGACGAAAGCCAGGGGAGCGAAAGGGAUUAGAUACCCCUGUAGUCCUGGCCGUAAACGAUGAACACUAGGUGUCGGGGGAAUCGACCCCCUCGGUGUCGUAGCCAACGCGUUAAGUGUUCCGCCUGGGGAGUACGCACGCAAGUGUGAAACUCAAAGGAAUUGACGGGGGCCCGCACAAGCGGUGGAGUAUGUGGUUUAAUUCGAUGCAACGCGAAGAACCUUACCAGGGUUUGACAUCCUGCGAAUCCCUUGGAAACGAGGGAGUGCCUUCGGGAGCGCAGUGACAGGUGGUGCAUGGCUGUCGUCAGCUCGUGUCGUGAGAUGUUGGGUUAAGUCCCGCAACGAGCGCAACCCACGUCUUUAGUUGCCAGCAUUCAGUUGGGCACUCUAGAGAGACCGCCGGUGAUAAACCGGAGGAAGGUGUGGAUGACGUCAAGUCAUCAUGCCCCUUACAUCCUGGGCUACACACGUACUACAAUGCUACGGACAAAGGGCAGCAAACUCGCGAGAGCUAGCAAAUCCCAUAAACCGUGGCUCAGUUCAGAUCGUAGGCUGCAACUCGCCUACGUGAAGGAGGAAUCGCUAGUAAUCGCAGGUCAGCAUACUGCGGUGAAUACGUUCCCGGGCCUUGUACACACCGCCCGUCACACCAUGGAAGUUGGCCACGCCCGAAGUCGUUACUCCAACCCGUAAGGGAGGAGGACGCCGAAGGUGGGGCUGAUGACUGGGGUGAAGUCGUAACAAGGUAGCCGUACCGGAAGGUGCGGCUGGAUCACCUCCUAA